rnacentral:lncRNA from 1 species
GCAGGUGUGGCCCCCCCCAAAAAAAAAAAACCCCAAAACUAGGACGCUCUGGAGGGAGACCCGCCCAGGUGGAGAGUAAAGGGUCGAUAACGUUUGUGGAAGCGACAAUGUGCCUGGGGCUUCUGAUAACUCUCAUUGUCUUUUGCGUGCUGGAACUGCUUGCAUUAAAGUUUUUUUUUAAAAAAACGUGAGAUGGGAAAAUAUGACUGAUUUACAAUUGGUGUCUCCAUUUAUUAGAUGCAUGCAAAAGCAGCAUCCGUAGGGGGGUGCGCACAUGAGGGGCCUGAGUCUUUGGAUCCACAGGCACCGCUCGAUUGCAAUUCCCCGCGCCUCCCCGGACCCCGCCCUCCAGGUCCGAGUCAUUCAUUCAUUCAUUCAUUCUGACAUUUGAGUGCCCGCCCGCGUCACACCCUCUGGAGGCAUCCUGGGUAACAUCUGCCCUCUGCACCUGUCCGUGGGGGGGGGGGAGUAGGAGACAGACCUUAAAGAGGACACCUGAGUCCCCAGCGUGUCGCCCCUCCCCCACGUUCCUUGCAGGGUCCUCCCGCGUUUCCACCAGGCGCCUUCCCCUCGAAGUCCCCGCACCGCUCACCAGAUCCGGUCAGUUAAAGGCAGGGCCUGAUCCAGUCUCAGGCCGGAGUCCCAGGACUGACUCAUGGCCUGGCUUCUGGCACGUGCCCGCGCCCCCAAGCCUCCCCAGAUGCCACCCUCAUCACUUGCAUGACUCAUUCGGAGCCAUCAGCUGAAACCUGAUCACCUUUGAACACCUCCUCCGGUUCUUUUAGUUAAGGCACCCACUUUCUAGAUGCUCCCACACCAUCCACGUCCUAAGUCAACCUUGGGAGAGCGGUGAGGAAUGGGGGACACGCCCACUUCCCCGCCCACACCCCAGGGGUCUUGGAAAUGGACCCCACCUCUGGGCAUCCUCGGUCCCCUUUGUAAUCCCAAUUGCACAGUCCACCUCGCCCCUCCCUGCCCAGGUUCCUGGUGCGUGUGGCCCUGCCGCCCCCCCCUUCAGCCCAGGUGCAGCACAAGGACCAAGUCAUCCUCCCCCUCCCCCCUCCUAAGCACGGAGGACAGAUGGGUCUGAGCUCGAGGCCUGCGUGAAAAGCUUAUUUUUAUUUAUUUUCUUAGCCGCACCCAUGGCAUGUAUAAGUUCCCAGGCCAAGGAUCGAACCCGCGCCACAGCAGGACCCGAGCCGCUGCAGUGACAACGCUGGAUCUUUAACUCGCUGCGCCACCUGAAAUGCUUUUUAGGGAAAAACGUGUUCUGAACUUAACAGAGAUCCCACUCCUUCCUCGCUCCCAGAAGCGCUGGUGGAGCACCGAUGGUGGCGGCGGGCCCAGAGCCCCGAGGACGCUGCGGGCGGGGGCGCGCCGGGCCCCGCAGGGCCGUUUUCCGUCCCCCAGUCCCAAGAAGCCUCAGGAAGUGCUGGAACUUCAAGGCCCUCCCCCACAGCCAUCUUUACCUGAGCGACUGGAGCUGCUAUCACCCCGGCAGCUGGACCAGCCUCCGGGCCCCGCCCCUUACCUGCCUCUCCCGGGAGGUCAAUAGAGGACAGAUGAAGGUUGUGUAAGGACACGGGGAUGGAAAAAUGGCAGGUGCCCAGGGCUGGGGGGGGGCCUUCCUUGGCAUCCAUGCACACAGCAUCGCCUGCUAGGGGGGACAGGGGAAAACCCCGCCCAAAAAAGGGGGGAAGGACAGAGGAAAAAAAGCGUAAGGUAAUGAGAAAAACAGAAAUCGAGAAGCAGGGAGGGAGGGAAAUAAAAAUACAAGA